rnacentral:rRNA from 1 species
GACGAACGCUGGCGGCGUGCUUAACACAUGCAAGUCGAGCGAUGAAGCACCUUCGGGUGUGAAUUAGCGGCGAACGGGUGAGGAACACGUGAGAAAUCUGCCUUCAACUCUGGGAUAACUCCGUGAAAACGGGGCUAAUACCGGAUAUGAGAUCUACAGGCAUCUGUGGAUCUGGAAAGUUUUUCGGUUGAAGAUGAUCUCGCGGCCUAUCAGCUUGUUGGUGAGGUAAUGGCUCACCAAGGCGACGACG